UACGAGGGGGGCGAGCGUUGUUCGGAAUUAUUGGGCGUAAAGGGUGCGUAGGCGGUUCCGCAAGUCCUGUGUGAAAUCUUCGGGCUCAACUCGAAGUCUGCACGGGAAACUGCGGGGCUUGAGUGUGGGAGAGGUGAGUGGAAUUCACGGUGUAGCAGUGAAAUGCGUAGAUAUCGUGAGGAACACCAGAGGCGAAGGCGGUUACCUGGACAGUUACUGACGCUCAGGCACGAAAGCAUGGGGAGCAAAAGGG
rnacentral:rRNA from 1 species